rnacentral:pre_miRNA from 1 species
ACUCAAAUCACUUGGGAAUCUUGCUAAAAAAGCAGAUUCUAAUUGGGGUGUUCUGGGUGGAACCUUAGAUUCUACAUUUUUAAUAAGCUCCCUGGUGAUUCCAAU